GGAUUUAUUGGGUUUAAAGGGGAGCGUAGGCCGGAGAUUAAGCGUGUUGUGAAAUGUAGACGCUCAACGUCUGCACUGCAGCGCGAACUGGUUUCCUUGAGUACGCAUAAAGUGGGCGGAAUUCGUGGUGUAGCGGUGAAAUGCUUAGAUAUCACGAAGAACUCCGAUUGCGAAGGCAGCUCACUGGGGCGCAACUGACGCUGAAGCUCGAAAGCGCGGGUAUCGAACAGGAUUAGAUACCCUGGUAGUCCGCACGGUAAACGAUGGAUGCCCGCUGUUGGCCUGAAUAGGUCAGCGGCCAAGCGAAAGCAUUAAGCAUCCCACCUGGGGAGUACGCCGGCAACGGUGAAACUCAAAGGAAUUGACGGGGGCCCGCACAAGCGGAGGAACAUGUGGUUUAAUUCGAUGAUACGCGAGGAACCUUACCCGGGCUUGAAUUGCAGAGGAAGGAUUUGGAGACAAUGACGCCCUUCGGGGUCUCUGUGAAGGUGCUGCAUGGUUGUCGUCAGCUCGUGCCGUGAGGUGUCGGCUUAAGUGCCAUAACGAGCGCAACCCCUCUCCUCAGUUGCCAUCAGGUUAAGCUGGGCACUCUGGGGACACUGCCACCGUAAGGUGUGAGGAAGGUGGGGAUGACGUCAAAUCAGCACGGCCCUUACGUCCGGGGCUACACACGUGUUACAAUGGCAGGUACAGAGAGAGGGUCGUUCGCAAGUACGAUCAAAUCCUUAAAGCCUGUCUCAGUUCGGACUGGGGUCUGCAACCCGACCCCACGAAGC
rnacentral:rRNA from 1 species